GCGCUAAUAGUCCAACGGUAGGAUAUUUGCCUUCCAAGCAAAAGGUUCGGGUUCGAUUCCCGAUUGGCGCA
rfam:Gonapodya prolifera JEL478 unplaced genomic scaffold M427scaffold_108, whole genome shotgun sequence.